rnacentral:rRNA from 1 species
UGGGGAAUUUUGGACAAUGGGCGAAAGCCUGAUCCAGCAAUGCCGCGUGUGUGAAGAAGGCCUUCGGGUUGUAAAGCACUUUUGUCCGGAAAGAAAUCCUUGGCUCUAAUACAGUCGGGGGAUGACGGUACCGGAAGAAUAAGCACCGGCUAACUACGUGCCAGCAGCCGCGGUAAUACGUAGGGUGCAAGCGUUAAUCGGAAUUACUGGGCGUAAAGCGUGCGCAGGCGGUUUGCUAAGACCGAUGUGAAAUCCCCGGGCUCAACCUGGGAACUGCAUUGGUGACUGGCAGGCUAGAGUAUGGCAGAGGGGGGUAGAAUUCCACGUGUAGCAGUGAAAUGCGUAGAGAUGUGGAGGAAUACCGAUGGCGAAGGCAGCCCCCUGGGCCAAUACUGACGCUCAUGCACGAAAAGCGUGGGGGAGCAAAACAGGAUUAGAUACCCUGGUAGUCCACGCCCUAAACGAUGUCAACUAGUUGUUGGGGAUUCAUUUCCUUAGUAACGUAGCUAACGCGUGAAGUUGACCGCCUGGGGAGUACGGUCGCAAGAUUAAAACUU